GAGGAGGAGAAGAUGGAGGCGGCGGCGGCGGUGGCCGCAUUGCCUAGGCUUUGCGUUUGCAAUGGUGGAUAUGUGGAAUGACAAGGGAUAUCCCUCCAAGGCCUACAAUAUUUUGGAUCGAUCUUACAUGCCCCCUCUAUUUCACAAUUUCUGUCCAAUAUAUCUUGAUUGUGCGACAUAGGCAUGUUGUCAGUUAGAUUUUUGUACAACAAUUCUUUAUCUGGACCAGUUCCAGAUAACUUACUGAACAAGCAAGGACUGACUUACAGAUUUCUCCCUGGUAAUCUCUUCGCCCCAAAACCACCGCACUGACAGCAGGAAAUUUUGUGCAAACAACCACUAUAUAUGUACAA